GGGGCACCUGCCCCCACUGAAUUUUCUAGCUUCAAAAUAGAGUAGCUUGUUGUAGCUUGUUGGCUGUUGCAUUUUGAUCUGCUUCGAUUUUAUCCAGAUUUGGUUAUUUCUCCUCCCUACUUCUCGAUCUGAUAUGGUUAUUUCUGGUGUUGUUAGGGAAGUUGAUUAUGCUUCAAAUCUAAUUAAUUGUUUGCAUUUUGAUUAUCUUGUCCUUUAAUCAGAUUUGUGUAUUUCCAUUUUGGUCUAUGGAUGUGAUUUUGUCAUUACCAAAUUUGGGAGUCCUAUGCUGAUUUCUAGCGAUUCUAUUGAAUUUUCCCUUUGAUUAAUCAGUUUGGGUGUUCUUAUUUUGAUCUGUUUGCAUUUUCGUUCAAAUUGAUUUUAUCUUCCAGUAUAAUAAUCUGGAUUCUGGGUUAUGUUCCUUGCCGGAUUAUGUGGGAUUUUUCAUUGCCGGUGAUUUUCAUCCAAAAUCAUUUAUGCUUUCGUACAUCUUAUGGAGUCCUGGCCGUGAUUGUCUCUACAGUUCGCUGGAUUUGGUUGAUGAGCAACAGGUGUUGUCAGUUUGUUGGCAGCAUACGGUUUUUCCAGUACAUGGUUUGGUUGGUGUGGUUUCAGCUCAUGGGCUAAUGUAAUUGGGCCCAUGGUUUUAGUUUCAAAUUUCAUAUGUGUGGAUCCCUGCUGGUAGGUGCGACAAUUGGGCUGACUUGAAAAGCAAUUGGGCCCCUUGAUUUUCAAUUCUAAUUAGUUAUGGGCUGCUGCACAUAGGUUUAAGCCGGAUGGGCUUUUGGGCUUAGUUGGUUUGCUUGUAUGAAAAUUGGGUUUUUAAUAUUUGUAAUGCAACUCCGUGUGGCCUUAUCCAAAUCUUUUGAAUUUGUCACAUUUGUAUUACAUUGAGUUUUUAAUAAAAAAAAAUGCUG
rnacentral:lncRNA from 1 species